AUGGCUGUCCUAGAGCUGCUCCUCUACCUGGUGACCUUUCCAAGCUGUGUCCUGUCCCAGUUCCAGCUGAAGCAGUCAGGACCUGCCCUUGUGCCGCCCUCACAGAGCCUGUCCAUCACUUGCACUGUCUCUGGGUUCUCAUUAACCAGCUGUGGUAUAAGCUGGCUUCAAUGGUCUCCAGGAAACGGUCUGGAGUGGAUGGGAGCAAUAUGGAGUAAUGGAAUCACGAACUAUAAUGCAGCUCUCGUAUUCCGACUGAGCAUCAGCCGGGACACCUCCAAGAGCCAAGUUUUCUUAAAAAUAAACAGUCUGCAAACUGAUGACACAGCCAUGUACUACUGUGCCAGAAACACUGAGGGAAGCCCAGUGUGA